ensembl:lncRNA
AUGCCUCAUCAUACGGUCAUGCAUUUUAUAUUUCAUCCUUUUCAACAGGUCCUGAUAUUUACAUUUGGCUCUUCUGGCACAGCUGUAAAUGUUUUGGCAGCUGUGUUCUGUGAUUACAGGAGCAGAGGCUACGGUGAAUCCAAAGUGUCAUGCUGGGAGAUCAGGCAGGCCGCGGCUAAUGAGAAACACUGUUCACGUGAUCCGCAGGGGUGGCCCGUGCUGCGCCGGAGACACCCAGACAGGUGUUGGCAGUCACAUUGCUAUGAAUGUGUUGGAAUGUGGAAUCUGAUCAAACUUGCUGUGAGUGUGGAAGAGACAGAAAGUUCAUACAUGGUAAGAACUUGCCCCAGAGCAAAGGCCAAACUCUCCUCUUUCUCUCGAGCAGCUGUUUAACAGAAGCACAUUGCAUAGUGCGCAAGAACCUGCAGUAAAACAAGCACAAAACCAUCCCAUGAUCAUCUGAAUUCAGAAAGCAGUUUAGGAAGUAUACAAUGUCUUUAGGGAGGUCUUAAAGGAGUUUCCAAAGGUAAUUUUUUGAUUGUAUUCAAGAUCUCAAACACACCUAAAUCACACCCAUAGCACGUGUGAAGUAUCAAAAGACUUUUAUUAUUUAUUAAAAUGAUGAAUGAUGACAGUCAUUGUUUUGAAUAUUCACUAGAUUAGAACAACAUACCAUUUGUGGUGAAAAUAUGUGCUUUGAUUAACUUUUGUGGUUACUAAAAUAUUUAUUUGAGAUUCUUUGAAACAUUCCUAAUGCAAUAUGUAGAACAGUAUUUUUGAACUGUUUAUGUGCAGCUUCAGUUUUGGAGUAGGCCUGAAAAAAUUCCUAGUAUUUGUAAUCCAUAGCGAACAUGUUUUGAUUGGUUCACCUUCAAAAAGACUAGGGUGUGAGGUGGUUUAAAUGGUAUUCAGGGCACUGAAUACCAUUUCUGAAUGGAAGGUGUUCUGAAUGGUUUGUAUGGUGUUGCUACGGUGUGAGAUGGUUGGUAAGGUGUUCUGAAUAGCAUGUGGGGUGGUUGUUGUAGUGUUCAGAAUGGUUUGUGGGGUGUUGCUAGGGUUUGAGGUGGUUGGUAAGGUGCUCUGAAUAGUUUGUAGGGUGUUGCUAGGGUGCUCUGAACAGUAUGUAGGAUGUUGAUAUGGUGUUCUAUAUAAUUGACAAGAUGUGUUCUAAAAGUUUGUAGAGUGUUGCUAGGGUGUAAGGCGGUUGAUAAGUUGUUCUGAACAGUUUGUUAGGUGUUGCUAGGGUGUUCUGAAUGGUAUGUAGGAUGUUGCUAGGGUGUUCUAUGUGGUUGAUAAUGUGUUCUCAAUGUUUGUACGGUGUUGCUAGGGACUAAGUUGGUUGCUAUGUUCUUCAGAAUGGUUUCUAGAGUGUUGCUAGGGUGUGAGGUGGUUG